GCCCUCCUUAAUACCCAUCACCCAUCUAGACCGUUCCCCACCCACCUCCCUCCAUCAACCCUCAGUUUGUUCUCUGUUGUUAAGAGUCUCUUGUGGUUUGUUUUCCUCUCUUCUCUUCCCCCCACCACCUUCCCAUAUGUUCAUCUGUUUUGUUUCUUAAAUUCCACAUAGGAAGGAAAUCGUAUGGUAUUGUCUUUCUCUGAUUGACUUAUUUUGCUUAGCAAAAUAUUUUGCUUAGCUGGCUCCAUCCAUGUCAAUGAAAAUGGUAAGAUUUCAUUCUUGUUGAUUAGCCUAGCCCACCUUAAAUGUUCUCAGAACAGCCUAUAGUUGGGUAAAAUCAUCUAACACAAAGUCUAUUUUAUAAUAAAGUGUUGAAUAUCCUAUGUAAUUUAUUGAAUACUGUACCGAAAGUGAAAAACAAUGGUUGUACGGGUACAGAAUGGUUAUAUCAGUUAUUUACUUUCAUAGCCAUGUGGCUGACGGGGAGCUGUGGCUUGCUGCCACUGCCCAGCAUCACAACAGAGUGUAGCACCACAUACCCCUAGCCCAGGAAAAGAUUAAAAAUGCAAACUUUCAAGUAUGGUUUUCUACUGAAUGUGUAUUGGUUUUGCACCAUCAUAACAUCAAAAGUGUCUAGCUGAUCCAGUACACUGCGGAAAGUACCCAUAUGAUCGAGGACUUCUUCUGUUAUAGAAUUCAGGAUCUAUAUCAUAAAAGUGCAAGAGGUACAUCAAUUACUACUUAUUCUAUCAUAUAGGAUAAAUACAACUAGCAAAUCAAUCUUUUCUUAUAAGUUAAAAAUGAAUUUAGAUUUCCUAUCAAGUCUAAAAAAACCACUUAAAAAAUCCUUCUGGUUCUUAAGUAUAUCAAAUUCAUUUUUGGCAUUAAGUUAUGGCAAAAAUGAAACAUGGAAAAAUACCAAAGACAUAAAGAUAAGAGGGUAGCAAAAAUAACCCCCC